UACAGAGGUCUCAAGCGUUGUUCGGAUUCAUUGGGCGUAAAGGGUGCGUAGGCGGCGCGGUAAGUCGGGUGUGAAAUUUCGAGGCUUAACUUCGAAACUGCAUUCGAUACUGCCGUGCUUGAGGACUGGAGAGGAGACUGGAAUUUACGGUGUAGCGGUGAAAUGCGUAGAUAUCGUAAGGAAGACCAGUGGCGAAGGCGGGGUCUCUGGACAGUUCCUGACGCUAAGGCACGAAGGCCAGGGGAGCAAACGGG
rnacentral:rRNA from 1 species